UAAGAGUUGCACACUACCAUGAGUCUCCUAAAAAUCUUUGUGCAGAAGGCAGCCUUGUGAAAUUUCACAUCCUGGCUAUGCUGACAAUAUUGCAUGAGAGCUUUAAUGUCAUUCAACUUACUACCAUUUGGACUCCAUUUGGCAAGUCAGGUCCACAGCAGAAGCACGUGCUCCUCCUCCAUUUAGCAAAGAGAUCCCAAAGGAAGCUGCGGUCUGCACCCACUGAAAAAUUUGAGGCUGCAUGGGCCAGACUCUCUCAAGGGCCAGUUGCUCAGUUACUAUCAAGGCCACCCCACUGCUGGAUAUUUGGGGUCCACAAAGAUGCUGUCCAAGGUUAAGGUCUCUCUGGCCGAGAAUGAGGAUGGAGGCCUAUGUGGUUUCGCAACCUGUCUGUUAACUAACCAAACUGAGGCAGAGGAAACAAGCAGGCCUCAUGGUGCUCAUUGAUGCAUACAUUAUUGUGUUCCUGGAUUAUUUCACUAAGUCGAUAGAGGUGUAGGUAGUGAGACAGGCUACGGCAGGUUUCCUCUGACAGUUUGCUGGAGAAUGUUUAUGUCCGGCAUGGUGCCUUAAGAUUCCUGAUAUCAAACAGAGGCUCUCAGUUUGUGAGUGACAUUUUUAACUGUGCUGUCAGCACAUUAGGGAUAGAGCACCGGCUCACCACAGCCUACCAUCUGCAGACAAAUGCGACAGAACGGGUGAACCAGAGGGCUCUUGGAAACUGUUGAUCAAUGAUCAUGACAAAUGUUCCAUUCUUGAGGUCCUUUGCAGCAUCAGGCUUCCACUUGCAGCAGGUUUUUAGACUAGGUGAAUACAUCUUCAUCAAGUAUGCCCAGAAGUGGUCGGCCUGACUACGUCUCCAGCAUUUUAACUUAUCAUCUCAAACUCAGGGUGCAGAACUUGUGGCAGGGAAGAGUCAGGCCACACCAUCAGCAGACUGUUAGGAGUGACUGGGUCAAUGCCCACUAUGUCAGAGGACACAUAGCCAAGAGGCCUAGAGUUCAAGAUCCCCUCUAGCCCUAUGAGAGCUGUUAUCAACAUCCCUGUCUGGGCCCAAGGAUCACAUGACGCACUUCUUUUAGAGACCUAAUCUCUCUCUCCCAUGUGCCAUAAAAGUGGGGGUGCCUGAUGGGUUGAAGUGGAACCAAAUUUGCUAGUUUGCAAGCUCCUUAUCUCCUCCUCUGCAAUAUGUCCCCUGAUAAGACAAAAGCCUUUUGAGGUUUUCCUCAGCAAGCAGUGAAUCUUCAGAGUGCCAUCAGUUAGGAGUUAGUGUCUGUACUGGUGAGGAAAUCCACAUGAACACCUCUAGUGGUUAACAGUACCCCACUUUUUCUCACUGCACCUACUCACUUUAAUAAGGAAAGGCUCAGAGCAUUCACCAGGUGAAUAAAAUGAAGGCUGGAACAGCUGAAUUAUGCAGGGGGCAUAUCAGCCAUUUUUGGGACUUCUGGUUUUCCUAGCCAUUUUUUACACUCUGUACAACUGUGUUGGUGAUUAAUAUAAACACCAUUGCUCAAAA